rnacentral:rRNA from 1 species
CAGCCGCCGCGGUAAUACGUAGGUGGCAAGCGUUGUCCGGAAUUAUUGGGCGUAAAGGGCUCGCAGGCGGUUUCUUAAGUCUGAUGUGAAAGCCCCCGGCUCAACCGGGGAGGGUCAUUGGAAACUGGGAAACUUGAGUGCAGAAGAGGAGAGUGGAAUUCCACGUGUAGCGGUGAAAUGCGUAGAGAUGUGGAGGAACACCAGUGGCGAAGGCGACUCUCUGGUCUGUAACUGACGCUGAGGAGCGAAAGCGUGGGGAGCGAACAGGAUUAGAUACCCCCGUAGUCCCUGUCUCUUAUCC